GUGCUGCGGAGGGAUCAUUACCGAGUUUACAACUCCCAAACCCCUGUGAACAUACCAAUUGUUGCCUCGGCGGAUCAGCCCGCUCCCGGUAAAACGGGACGGCCCGCCAGAGGACCCCUAAACUCUGUUUCUAUAUGUAACUUCUGAGUAAAACCAUAAAUAAAUCAAAACUUUCAACAACGGAUCUCUUGGUUCUGGCAUCGAUGAAGAACGCAGCAAAAUGCGAUAAGUAAUGUGAAUUGCAGAAUUCAGUGAAUCAUCGAAUCUUUGAACGCACAUUGCGCCCGCCAGUAUUCUGGCGGGCAUGCCUGUUCGAGCGUCAUUUCAACCCUCAAGCCCAGCUUGGUGUUGGGACUCGCGAGUUAAACCGCGUUCCCCAAAUUGAUUGGCGGUCACGUCGAGCUUCCAUAGCGUAGUAGUAAAACCCUCGUUACUGGUAAUCGUCGCGGCCACGCCGUUAAACCCCAACUUCUGAAUGUUGACCUCGGAUCAGGUAGGAAUACCCGCUGAACUUAAGCAUUAA
rnacentral:rRNA from 1 species